rnacentral:snoRNA from 1 species
UUGCAUGCAAGUUCUCUACAGUAGCACGAGGACCUUGGGUGCAGUGACUACAAACAGCUGCCAUCUUGGAAAUGUAUGGAGCUCGUUGCUUGUAUGUGUCCCUUUUUAGAAACAUUCAAGACAAUU